AUGAAAGCUCUUACAAUAUUCAAUGAUUAUAUUUCUCUAAAACAGGUUAUAGCUACAUGUGCACCACCAAGUUAGAACAGUAUGCGAAAUUAAGAGGGGUAAAUAGACUAAAUUAUUAAGGUGAGGCACAUUGAACGCCGUUUAAUUUGACACGUCAAAUAAGGGCCCCACUGGACUGAGGGGCAGCUCCGGACUGAGGGGCAGCUCCGGACUGAGGGGUAGCUCAGGACUGAGGGGUAGCUCUGGACUGAGGGGUAGCUCCUGGCUGGCUGACGGCUCUGGCAGCUCCUGGCUGGCUGACGGCCCUGUUAGCUCCUGGCUGGCUGACGGCCCUGGCAGGUCCUGGCUGGCUGACGGCCCUGGCAGAUCCUGGCUGGCUGACGGCGCUGGCAGCUCCUGGCUGGCUGACGGCGCUGACAGGUCCUGGCUGGCUGACGGCUCUGGCAGCUCCUGGCUGACUGAUGUGUCAGGACAGACUGGCGGCUCUGGCGGCUCAGGACAGACUGGCGGCUCUGGCGGCUCAGGACAGACGGGCGGCUCUGGCGGCUCAGGACAGACGGGCGGCUCUGGCGGCUCAGGACAGACGGGCGGCUCAGGACAGACGGGCGGCUCUGGCCAGACGGGCGGCUCAGGACAGACGGGCGGCUCUGGCGGCUCAGGACAGACGGGCGGCUCUGGCGGCUCAGGACAGACGGGAGACUCUGGCGGCUCAGGACAGACGGGAGACUGGACAGACGGGUGCACUGUAGGCCUGGUGCGUGGUGCCGGCACUGGUGGUACUGGCCAAGGUCACGCACCUCAGGGCGAGUGCAGGGACGAAGAACAGGGAGAACUGGGCUCUGGCGACGCACAGGAAGCCCGGUACGGGGGGCUGCCACUGGAGGGCUGGUGCGUGGAGAUGGCACCGGAUAGACCGGACCAAGAAGGCGCACUGGAGAUCUGGAGCACCAAGCUUACCUGGUUGAAUGCUCCCCGUAGCCAGGCCAGUGCAGCGUGGUGGAAUAGCCCGCACUGGGCUGUGCAGGCAAACCGGGGACACCAUGCGUAAGGCUGGUGCCAUGUAUGCUGGUCCGAGGAGACGCACUGGAGACCAGAUGCGCAGAGCCGGCUUCAUGGCACCUGGCUCGAUGCCCACUCUAGCCCGG
ensembl:lncRNA